AGAGAGACUAACAUGGUCGUCUUGACUAUGAUCUGACGAAGAUUAGAUGAAUGACCGAGUAUAUGAAGCAGAGGUUGAUUGUGGUAGAUGAGAGUCAGCUGAAACCCAGACUCCCGCACAC